CUUUUUAGGGCUACUCAUGUGGCAUAUGGAAGUUUCAGGGCUAGGCAUCGAAGCAGAGCUGCAGAUGCCAGCCACAGCCACAGCCAUAGCAAUGCAGGAUCCAAGCCACAUCUGUGACCUACACCACAGCUCAUGGCAAUGCCAGAUCCUUAACCCUCUGAGCGAGGCCAGGGAUCAAACCUGCGUCCUCACCUCCUUCCAUAUGCUGCAGGUGUGGCCCUAAAAAAAGAAAGAAAAUAAUGAGAAGCUACGUGGAGUCAGGCUGAGGGAGAGGCCAGCAAGUGCCAGUUGUUAGAAGGUCAGGGGAAAAGUGAAGUUCAAGACAAAAAGUGAUGCUGAGCUCAUCUGCGCCUCAGUCAGCUCCGGCAGCUUCUCCUAGAAGGUGCAACAGAGUCAUUCUCUUCUGAAAGCACACUGACAUGUGUUCGGGGUGGAGAGUGGUUUAGAAUAUUCAGGAGUUCCUGUUGUGGCUCAUCAGUAACGAAUCCGACUAGUAGCCAUGAGGAUGUGGGUUCGAUCCUUGGUCUCGCUCAGUGGGUUAAGGAUCUGGCAUUGCUGUGAGCUGUGACAUAGGCCAGUAGCUGCAGCUCCAAUUCCACCCCUAGCCUGGGAACCUCCAUAUGCCUUGGGUGUGGCCCUAAAAAGCAAAAAAAAAAAAAAAAAAAAAAAUGUUGAGCAUUAUGUUUUAAUAACUGUAAUAGAGUUUUAUUUUCUUCCUAAGUCUUCCAGAGGACACUUUUGGGGGUGCAAAGACCCCACUAGUGCACCAAACUUAGCUUGUGUCCUCUGCCGUCAUCUGGCAGGUCAGCCUGAUUCCCACAUUCAGAGACUCCCUCCUCCCAGAAAUACUCCCUUCCUGCCACGCCCAAGUCCACGACACCCGUCUCCCUGCUCCUUCUCCCUCUCUGCCUGCCUCUGUCUCUGUGGACGUAGCCUCUUCCCCUGGCUGUUCCAUGUUGGCGAUGCUCACGCCCAGUCCUGGGCUCGCCUUACAUCUGUUCUAUAUUCUCGUCUCAGAGGCUGGAGGCUAAGCCCAAUGCCUGUCAGCACUUCUCUGCUUUCGUGACUUUUGUACCAGGACUGGGCUUGAAUGUAGAUGAGAGGAAACUCCAAGUAUCCGGAGCCUGAAUACUAGAAAAGAGCACUUCUUGUCAGGGAACUGGCCUGCCUGUCACUCUGCCAGUCUCAACAGAGGACUUUUUACCUCAUGGUCCAAGAUGACUUCCUGGGCUCCAGCCAUCACAACCACAUUUCUGUUAGCAGGAAGGAAGAGGUCAGGGGGAAGGACACAGCCUUUCCUUUAGGGGUACUUCACAGAAGUCAUACAUGACACGGCUUACACUUCAUGGGUUAAAAUUCAGUCAGGUGGCCACUCUAGCUCAAGGGAGGUUUGGAAACGUAUGGCGGCCCCUAAAAAUCAGAUGUUCUUCUAAAACGACACAAGGGGUUAGUGGAUGGAGAGCAGGGCACGACUAGUCUUUGCUGCAUCUCCCGGAUACAUACCUUCAGGCCAGGCUUCUCCGUAGCUCCUGCUGCUUUGGUACCCAAGACAUCUCAGAAUCAAAUAUCCAAGGCUGAACGCAUGAGCUCUCCCUAACCUGUGCCACUGCCCUUACUUCCUUCCCCUGGUAAAGGGCACAGCCACCAGUGCAGCCGGCAACUAGGGGCCAUGCCUGGCUCUUAAAACAGAGAGCAUCGUCUGUUUGCAGUUCAUCCUUGCUUCCCCGGGGCAGAGUCCAAUCCCCUGCCCCCUGCCUUUGGGUUUGGCCACUUGUCAUCCUUGGGCUGAUGGUAAAUGAACAGACGCUUGUUCGGCCUUGGCUGGCCGGGGGCUUGAAGGGCACCUGUAUGUUUUUGAUUGGUCUCUUGUCCUUCCACCAUCUGCCAUGGAACCCAGAUAACUGCAGGUUCUAGAAGGAGAGACCUAUGGAUCACCUACGAGCUGAAGCAGAUGUGCCCCAAGCCACCCGCAGACCUGUAACGAGAAAAGUAAGGGGUGGCUGUAACCCUUGAGAAUUUGGGGUUGUUUGUUAUGCAGCAUCACAGUGGAAGCCACUGUAACUGUUGUUUCAUUACAGCAGAAACCUAAUUAGUCUAAUUGUCUUGUACUUCCGUUCCUGCUGCUGCAUUUAGUCCUGUCAGUUUAUCUCAGUAGUAUCUCUGGAAUCUAAUCACAUCUCCAUCUCCAGGGCUGCCGUUAUCUUAGCCCAAGCUGUGGCCACUUUUUGCCUGGACCACUGCAAAACCUCCGGCCUGGGCUCACACCUCUGUUCUGGCCCCUUGGUUCACAGCUCCCCACCCCGCACGCUCCCCCUCCCUCCCCAUUCGGUCCAGGAUGUGAUGGACUCACUUGGGAUAAACUUGAUGCCCCGGAUCUCUUUGGGCCUUUGCUGCCCGGUUCACUGGAUGCUUGGCUCUUGCAUAUCCCUAGAGCUUUGGCUCUCACAGCUCUUAUCUCCGGGCUGGAAGUCAACGGCCAAACCUUGACCCCUGUCUUUGUCUUUGUCAUCCAGGAAAGCGCAGUCCUCAUCCUCUCCGGGCAGAGCCGUGCUGGUUCAGGAGAAAAAAAAAAAAAAAAGCACAGUUAGACAUGAAUCUAUCUGAAAAAUAUCUUGAUGCAUGGUAACGCCACCGUCCCUGUCCCCUGAAAACUCUUCAAUAGCUUCCUGCUGAUCAUAAAGAGCCAAGUCUUCAACAUGGCCCCCAAUGGUCUGGCUUUGACCUUGGCUCUGCUGCUGAACUCCAGCCCCUGCAGCUGCAGUCUGGACCUUGGAGGACUGUGCCCCGUCUCCCAGGCAGGUUUCCCUCCUCUGAGGAGCCCCUCUUGACCCACCCAGUCUCUGUGAUAAACACCCUCAGCCUUACUCCUUUGAUCUGAUCCAUUUCUUUCACUUGUGGGUUAUUUAGCUACCAUCUCGCUCUCCCUGAGUCUAUAAGCUGCAUGAGAACUGAUGUAUCAAUUGCCCUCGGUGAAUGAAUGAAUGAAUGGGACAGAUGGAUAAACGGGUGGGUGCAGGGAUGAGUUACUGGUUAAAGGCAAUCUUGCAACACUAGGUCCUAAUCCACUUGGGUCCAUCAGAGUGAUGGAGGGGCAGACACAGCCGAUGAAUGGUUGGAGUGUACAGCUGCCCAUUUGGGAGGAUUUGAAAUGGAAAAACGAAGUCCUCCUAAAUCACCCGCUUCCGCCCUCUGGAAAUGCUACCACUUAGUGUUAUUCCUCUGUGCUGGUCCUCGAGAAUCUUAGACUGAAAUUCCAACAAUUCUAAGAGAGUUCAGGCACGCAAGCUGUACUUCAGGCUGUGGAAGGCACAGCUGAGCCCUGGAGAUGGGAGGCAGGGAGGAUGGGGAGCAGGACACGUGGGGAGGGAGCUGCAGGGAGGAGGACCCUGGGAGGGAGUCAGGUGCUCCACUCCGGGGUGUCUGCAGCUUCACAGACUUGCCAACAUCCCAUCCCUUUACUUUUAUGCUUCUUGAUCCAGCAACAAGUCAUUUCACUGUUUGGGGUUCUCCCCCCAGGGGACAAGGACACAAACACAAAUGGGGGAACUUCUUUAAAGGCAACUGGAAACACAUGGACACAGAGAUGGGUGGUUCAGCAUCUGAACAGAUCCUCUUGGAAAACUCACUCAUUCAUCCAUUCACUCAUUAAGGAAGUGCUACUGUCGGCCACGUGACUGGCCCUCGGCACUGGAAACUCAGACGGAACCAUGUUCUUACCUCUAUAGAAUAGCUGUUAUUUCCCACACGGGCUUUUGGAGAAAAAGACAGGCAUUCUUCUGGGUCCACCCAGACGCCCCUGGCUCGUGACUGCCUGGAAGCAGAGGGGGGUGGGGAUCUGGGGAAAGUUGGGACGAUAGGGAGAGGAAGCAGUAUUCUCCUUCCCCAUCGUUCUAAAGCUUUGGUGCCAGGACACGGGAAGAGGAGGGGAGAGAGGGAUGGGGUUAGACCCUGGACUCUAGGAAGUGGCAUCACUGUGGUUUGAGUCACUCUGAUGGCCUGAUGCCGGCCUGGAGCACUGAAGCUUUGCUGCCGAGAGAGAAAAGGUGCCUGACCUGCAAAGGAGAGGUGAACGUGCUGGUGAUAUGAAAAUCAGUAAAUCAGCUGCAUCUUGUCUCAUUUCACUUAUUUUUCUUUUGUUUCCGAUAUUCAAUCUCUCCCCUUCCUCAGGUAUGGAAGAGCUGGAACCCGCAUACUCUGGCAUCCUACCCCAACGACGUUCCUUCUAUUUCUUUUCUUACUUUUCUUACACAUUCCUUCCCCCCAGGCCAUUCCAGGGGGCAUGGACAAAAAUAAAGCCAUUCUGCGAUUUCAGUAAAAGCCAUGUCAUCCCUUCCUAAAGCACCGCGCUGCUUUGAAAAAUCAAUAUUCCUCUGCUGGCCAUUUCCCAUAAUGCAGUUUGUUCAACAAACAAAAUUUGAGAAAGCAAAACUUUGUGAGAACAAUUUCAUUCCUCUAAGUUCUCCUUAAUUUCCUACCCUGCAAGGUUUCUAAGACUCUCUCCUCAUUGGUGGCUAAGGAAGGAAGUCCAGAAAAGCUGGCCUUUGAGUUCCCGUCAUGGCGCAGCAGAAACAAAUCUGAAUAGGAACCAUGAGGUUGAGGGUUCGACCCCUGGCCUCACUCAGUGGCUUAGGGAUUCUGCGUGGCUGUGGCUGUGGUGUAGGCCGGCAGCUACAGCUCCCACUGGACCCCUAGCCAGGGAAGCUCCACAUGCCAUGGGUGCAGCCCUAAAAAGAACAACAACAAAAAGUAACUAGAAAGAGCACUUGGCAGAGUCGGGGGAGGAGGCUGAGGGGGGGCGGAAUGGGAGGUGAACAGAGCCCAUUCUCAGGUGGAAGCGAGGGUCCAGGGCCACACAGAAUCACAGUCAUGAAGAGACCCUGACGGUAGCCCCAGGUGGAAUGUACAACACCCCAGCCAGGUGGGGGGACCCCAGGUGCACGCGCUUAGUGACACAGCAGCAGAGAGGGCGGGGGAAGCUUCGCCAGCAGUAAAGCACCCGCACCAGGGAAAGACCGGAGCAUGAAAGCCAAGAGAGAAGAUGCCACGUGCAGGGCAUGGAUGGAGAGAACGCGACCUGGCACCGUGACCCUGAAGCAGAGGGUGGAGAAGAGGACCAGAAGGUGGACUCGGAGACGUACACGAGAAACACCCCGAACGGAACUGACUCUGCAGGCGCAGCGCACAUGCCACGUUCUUGUAGAUUUUGACAUGCAGGGCUCUGUGCCAAGGCAGAUCCUGGAGAAGCUGUCGAACUUGAGGCCUAAAGAAUGCUCCAGGCACCCAGGAAAACACAAAUCAACUACCAAAGACACAAAUGAGACUGACCUCAGAAUUCUUCACAGCAAUCAGAGCCUUAAGAUAUCAGAGCAGGAGUUCCCCGGGGGUUCAGAUGGUCAAGGACCUGGCAUUGUCUCUGUUGUGGCCUGGAUUCAGUCCCUGGCCUGGGAACUUCCACAUGUCAUGGGUGUGACCAAAACAAAACGGCAACAAAAACAUCAAGGGUCACGUCUACCACGUUCUGAAAGAAGUGCAACCUAAGACAAUUACAGCCCAGAGAGGUGUCAGUCAAACGUAAAGGCAGCAGACAGACAUCUUCAGGCAGUACCAUGGGUCUCGCUAAAAGGAUAUUUUACAGGGAAAACUUUCCCACUGAUAGAUGACUUAAUUUAAAAACAAACACCAUCAGGAAUAGGAAGCUUUGAUGAAAGACUGACAGGUGGAUACAAAAUCCACUUAAAUAUGGAGUUGAAGCUGAAUAAUCACAGGACAAUUAUAGAACAAUGUACAUGUUGGCAAUCUCGAAGAUACUCAAAAAUAUAACCCCAAAAAUUCAGAGGGGCUCAAAUGGAAGUAUUACCUUUUUCAUCUUUCAGAGAUGGGAACUGAUCAGUAUUGUCUCAAAUUGAUACAGAAAAUUCUAAAAAGAAACUUUUUUCCCUCAUAAUCACUUUCUUUAAUCCUAGAGGAUUUUUAGGAAACCACACUAUCCUGGUGGAGAAAUGUCCAAACGACAGCAAUUCUGAGUCUCAUUUCAAUUUCUUUUGCUGAAUUCGACUAAAAUUAAAAAGUUUCUAUGCUAUCAUCCCAAGUUUAUAAAAGCAAUUCCACUUAUGAACCGUCUCUGCAAUUGAUAUCAACGGAAAAUACUCAGAUCAUGCUCUUGUUUAUGCGUGAUGGGCUUGGGAGAAUAGAAGACAUCUCUUCACCUUCAGGACUGUCUUUAUAACAAGCAUUUUUAAAACACAACAACGACGAAGGGAUUGUUAAUUUAUUACAGAGGAAAGGCUGGAGGGAGGACGCCGAGUUCCUUCUGGGGGAUGUGAAUGUGGAUGCACCUGUCUUCGGGGAAAAGUCUAGAUUCAGAAUGUUGGCGGGGCUUCCCAGUUUCCUCAAACCUGGUACUUUUCCAGCCUCAGCUUUCAUAUUCCCUCUCCUUCCAAGUCCUGUACUCUGAGCUGCAGCCACUCAGAGCUCCUUGCGAUUUCCUGACCACGCAGCCCUCUCUCAUUUCCAGACCUUUGCAUUUCUGUUUGCUCUGCUCCCAUCAGCGUCCUGCCCUUCCUCUCUGACCCUCUGCCACAUGCUCCUUUUCCUGGGUAAGGUCUACUCAGUUUUGGAAAAAAAAAUUUUUUUCUUUUACUUUUGUUAUAUAUGUAGUACAUAUACAACAUAGAAAUGACCACUUUAGCGAUUUUUAAAUGUGUAAGUUGGGGCAUCAAGAACAUUCCUAGUGUCGUGCAACCAUCACCGCUAUCCAUCUCAUCAUCCUAAACCGAAACUCUGUCCAAGUUAAACAUGAGCUCCCCAUUCCCGGCUUCCUGCAG
rnacentral:lncRNA from 1 species